rnacentral:lncRNA from 1 species
UGUGCCAGAUGUUUAGAGUUUUAAUUCAGAUCACUUAGAAAAGUUUUGAUUGCGUGGCACGUAUCCUAGAUUUCGUACUAAGAGAUCCUGAGUAAUUUCGAUUGUUGUUGGUUGCACAGUGUUACACGUGAUUUAAAAGGGUUUGUUGAUUCUUCCCCGGAGGUAACUGGUCGUGGUUUAGACCUUCCCCUUAAUAACAGCCCAAGCGAUGGGGGAAGUCAUUUGGGUGGAAUCCAGCUGGAAAUAGUUGGAGAGCGUGGCACAGAGAAGGGUGUCUGUGUCCUUGUUGUUCUGGUUAAUCACAGAACGGUGCUAGUCGACAAACAGGGGUGGAAAGGCAGACCCGGAACACUUGAGAGCGGAGAAACCGUCCCUUCGCUGUCCACGGCACACGCAGAAAGCGGAGCCCAGGACCCCCGUGGACAGGAGCAAGAAUUUGGUGCAAUUAUAGAGGUCGUUCCCAAGACAGUAGGGAGGCAUUCCACGAAGUUCAGAGUCAAGGGACAAUUCAUGAAGCCCGCCUACAUCUGACCCAGCCCUCUAGGAGGGCCCACCAGCGCCUGCUGUCCUGGCCUUGAUUUGCAGCUUCCUGCCACCCAUGGUGCGGAGGAGAGAGGCCGAGCAUGUGGCCUGUGGGAGAUGGUGGGAUAAAGCCGCAGGAGGAGGGGAGAAGCAGGAGCCAGCAGGCUUCCACGAGGUAUGCAUGCGCAACAGGACAAGAGAAGGAAAUUCAAGACUCAGUGAAAAUCAACAGUCUAAAGUAGCCAGCAUUGCUGUGGAUUAUAUGGCCGGAGAACCCACAUCGCUCCUUUCAAGUCAAGUCCUGGGUGGGUGCUCUGGCUCCAAGCUUCAAACCUAAAGAUCCAAGAUGCCUGAAACUCAGAAAAUCUCUAUGAGUGAAAGUCAACUUCCUCUUUACGUCUUCUCCGGGCACAUGUAUUUCAUGUUGUGGCUGUCGUUGACCAAAAUGACAGACAUCAGAUGAAUUACUCCUUUUCUGAGAAGCACAAUGCUUUUUAUACUAAUUAUGAUGUUUGGAAUGGAAUCAGAAAAGGCUGGGAGUGUAAAGAAAAGGGAAAAAAAAUGUUGCGAUUAGAGUGUAGAGGGCAACAGGCCAUCCUUGCCUCUGUAUUUUGGGGCACAGAUUGAUCAUUAAACACUUUUUAGUACCUCUUGACUACAGACAUUUUAUAUCCCGGAUCGAGAAACCUCAUAAUGAAUGAAAG